UACGUAGGGGGCCAGCGUUAUCCGGAUUUACUGGGCGUAAAGGGUGCGUAGGUGGUUUUUUAAGUCAGGAGUGAAAGGCUACGGCUCAACCGUAGUAAGCUCUUGAAACUGGGAAACUUGAGUGCAGGAGAGGAAAGUGGAAUUCCUAGUGUAGCGGUGAAAUGCGUAGAUAUUAGGAGGAACACCAGUAGCGAAGGCGGCUUUCUGGACUGUAACUGACACUGAGGCACGAAAGCGUGGGGAGCAAACAGG
rnacentral:rRNA from 1 species